rnacentral:rRNA from 1 species
UACGAAGGGGGCUAGCGUUGUUCGGAUUUACUGGGCGUAAAGGGCGCGUAGGCGGCCACCGCAAGUCGGUUGUGAAAUCUCUGGGCUUAACCCAGAAAGGUCAACCGAUACUGCGGGCCUAGAGUGCAGAAGGGGCAACUGGAAUUCUCGGUGUAGCGGUGAAAUGCGUAGAUAUCGAGAGGAACACCUGCGGCGAAGGCGGGUUGCUGGGCUGACACUGACGCUGAAGCGCGAAAGCUAGGGGAGCGAACGGG